rnacentral:misc_RNA from 1 species
CGACCCCAGGUCAGGCGGGACCACCCGCUGAGUUUAAGCAUAUC